UACGGGGGGGGUAAGCGUUGUUCGGAAUUACUGGGCGUAAAGGGCUCGUAGGCGGCCAACUAAGUCAUACGUGAAAUCCCUCAGCUUAACUGGGGAACUGCGUGUGAUACUGGAUGGCUUGGAUUUGGGAGAGGGAUGCGGAAUUCCAGGUGUAGCGGUGAAAUGCGUAGAUAUCUGGAGGAACACCGGUGGCGAAGGCGGCGUUCUGGACUGCAUCUGACACUGAGGAACGAAAGCCAGGGGAGCAAACGGG
rnacentral:rRNA from 1 species